CGGGCUUGAACUGCAGAGGAAGGAAUGAGAGAUCAUGACGCCCUUCGGGGUCUCUGUGGAGGUGCUGCAUGGUUGUCGUCAGCUCGUGCCGUGAGGUGUCGGCUUAAGUGCCAUAACGAGCGCAACCCCUUUCGCUAGUUGCCAUCAGGUCAUGCUGGGCACUCUGGCGAUACUGCCACCGUAAGGUGUGAGGAAGGUGGGGAUGACGUCAAAUCAGCACGGCCCUUACGUCCGGGGCUACACACGUGUUACAAUGGCGCAUACAGAGAGUUGGUUGCCGGCAACGGUGGUCUAAUCAAUAAAAUGCGUCGUAGUUCGGAUUGGGGUCUGCAACCCGACCCCAUGAAGCUGGAUUCGCUAGUAAUCGCGCAUCAGCCAUGGCGCGGUGAAUACGUUCCCGGGCC
rnacentral:rRNA from 1 species